AUUGAACGCUGGCGGCAGGCUUAACACAUGCAAGUCGGACGGUAACAGGGAGGAAGCUUGCUUUCUUUGCUGACGAGUGGCGGACGGGUGAGUAAUGCUUGGGAAUCUGUUUUAUGGAGGGGGAUAACUACGGGAAACUGUAGCUAAUACCGCAUAAUAUCGAGAGAUUAAAGUGUGGGACCGUAAGGCCACAUGCCAUAGAGUGAGCCCAAGUGGGAUUAGGUAGUUGGUGGGGUAAAGGCCUACCAAGCCGUCGAUCUCUAGCUGGUCUGAGAGGAUGACCAGCCACACUGGGACUGAGACACGGCCCAGACUCCUACGGGAGGCAGCAGUGGGGAAUAUUGCACAAUGGGCGCAAGCCUGAUGCAGCCAUGCCGCGUGAAUGAAGAAGGCCUUCGGGUUGUAAAGUUCUUUCGGUGGUGAGGAAGGUUGUAAUGUUAAUAGCAUUAUAAUUUGACGUCAGCCACAGAAGAAGCACCGGCUAACUCCGUGCCAGCAGCCGCGGUAAUACGGAGGGUGCGAGCGUUAAUCGGAAUAACUGGGCGUAAAGGGCACGCAGGCGGAUACUUAAGUGAGGUGUGAAAGCCCUGGGCUUAACCUAGGAAUUGCAUUUCAUACUGGGUAUCUAGAGUAUUUUAGGGAGGGGUAGAAUUCCACGUGUAGCGGUGAAAUGCGUAGAGAUGUGGAGGAAUACCGAAGGCGAAGGCAGCCCCUUGGGGGAAUACUGACGCUCAUGUGCGAAAGCGUGGGGAGCAAACAGG
rnacentral:rRNA from 1 species